UACGGGGGGGAGCAAGCGUUGUUCGGAUUUACUGGGCGUAAAGGGCGCGUAGGCGGCCUCCGCAAGUCAGUUGUGAAAUCUCCGAGCUUAACUCGGAAAGGUCAACUGAUACUGCGGGGCUAGAGUGCGGAAGGGGCAACUGGAAUUCUUGGUGUAGCGGUGAAAUGCGUAGAUAUUGUGAGGAACACUAGUGGCGAAGGCGAGACUCUGGACAGUUCCUGAUGCUGAGGCACGAAGGCCAGGGGAGCAAACGGG
rnacentral:rRNA from 1 species